ensembl:snRNA U6 U6 spliceosomal RNA
GUGCUCUCUUCAGGAGCACAUAUACUAAAAUUGGAACAAUGGAAAGAUUAGCAUGGCCCCUGAGCAAGGAUGUCACACAAAUUUUUGAAGUGUUCCAUAUUUUU